UCUGGUUGAUCCUGGCGGAGGUUACUGCUAUCGAGGUUCGACUAAGCCAUGCGAGUCGAAUGUAGCAAUACAUGGCGAACUGCUCAGUAACACGUGGACAACCUGCCCUUAGGACGGGGAUAAACCCGGGAAACUGGGUAUAAUACCCGAUAGGUCUCGAUUGCUGGAAUGCAUCGAGAUUUAAAGCUCCGGCGCCUAAGGAUGGGUCUGCGGCCUAUCAGGUAGUAGUGGGUGUAGCGUACCUACUAGCCUACGACGGGUACGGGUUGUGAGAGCAAGAGCCCGGAGAUGGAUUCUGAGACACGAAUCCAGGCCCUACGGGGUGCAGCAGGCGCGAAAACUUUACAAUGCUGGCAACAGCGAUAAGGGAACCUCGAGUGCCAGGUUACAAAUCUGGCUGUCGAGAUGCCUAAAAAGCAUUUCAUAGCAAGGGCCGGGCAAGACCGGUGCCAGCCGCCGCGGUAACACCGGCGGCUCGAGUGGUAACCGUUAUUAUUGGG
rnacentral:rRNA from 1 species